rnacentral:rRNA from 1 species
GAUGAACGCUAGCGGCAGGCCUAAUACAUGCAAGUCGAACGGUGUCUUCGGACAUAGUGGCGCACGGGUGCGUAACACGUAUGCAACCUACCUUACAUUGGGGGAUAGCCUUUCGAAAGGGAGAUUGAUACCGCAUAAGACAGUAGCUGGGCAUCCAGCAGCUGUUAAAGAUUUAUCGAUGUAAGCUGGGCAUGCGUCCAAUUAGCUAGUUGGUGAGGUAACGGCUCACCAAGGCAAUGAUUGGUAGGGGAACUGAGAGGUCAAUCCCCCACACUGGCACUGGGAUACGGGCCAGACUCCUACGGGAGGGAGGAGUAGGGAAUAUUGGGCAAUGGACGCGAGUCUGACCCAGCCAUGCCGCGUGCAGGAUGAAGGCGUUAUGCGUUGUAAACUGCUUUUAUACAGGAAGAAACGACUCUUGCGAGAGGCAUUGACGGUACUGUAUGAAUAAGCACCGGCUAACUCCGUGCCAGCAGCCGCCGUAAUAC